AUGCAUUGCAUGCAUGAUUACUCAGUUGCAGUAGCUGUUGUGGACGGGCAUCCUGUACUCCUGCUGCCCGCCGUACGCGGCCUGCUUCUGCUCGCGGUGCUCGUGGUACGCGGCGCCGACCUCGCCGACGCGCUCCCUGUUCUUGUGCUGCUGCACUUCCUUCUUGUAGUACCCCUGCCCCUGCUCGCCUCCUCCGAAACACUCCUCGGUGGUGGUGGAGUAGGACAUAGCCCUGCCGUCGUUGUGCCCGUAGCCGUGGCCGUGGCCGUGCCCAUGCCCAUGCCCGUGCCUGCCGGAGUCGAAGCACUCCUCGUCGACGGUGUUGGAGUACAUGGUCCUGCCGCCACCGCCGUGGCCGUGCCUGCCGGAGUCGAAGCACUCCACGUCAGUGGUGUUGGCGUACAUGUUUGCCCCGCCGUGUCCAUGGCCGUGGCCGUGGCCGUGGCCGUGGCCGUGGCCGUGCUUGCCGGCGUCGUAGCACUCCUCGGUGGUGUUGGAGUACAUGGUCCUGCCGCCGUCGAAGCACUCGUCGGUGUUGGAGUAGGACAUGGUCCUGCCGCCGCCGUUGUAGUAGCCCGCCAUUCUAAGAGCAGGUGGUGA
rnacentral:rRNA from 1 species